UACGUAGGGUGCGAGCGUUAUUCGGAAUUAUUGGGCGUAAAGGGCGCGUAGGCGGACAGUUUAGUCAGAGGUGAAAGCCCAGGGCUCAACCUUGGAAUUGCCUUUGAUACUGGCUGUCUUGAGUACGGGAGAGGUGAGUGGAACUCCGAGUGUAGAGGUGAAAUUCGUAGAUAUUCGGAAGAACACCAGUGGCGAAGGCGACUCACUGGCCCGUUACUGACGCUGAGGCGCGAAAGCGUGGGGAGCAAACAGG
rnacentral:rRNA from 1 species